GAAAANGUUCAUAGGAACUGCUAAUUCUUAUAACCCGUGUGUAAUAACACGGCUUUUNCG
rnacentral:tRNA from 1 species